GGGAGCUGCAGAGUCCUGCCGCCUCCCACAGCAGCAGGGAGCUGUGAGGUAUCCCUACCACCUGAGGCAGCAGCAUAAGAUUCCCACUCGAGUUCCUCAACAAAGAACUGAACGCAGUAUGACUCACCUGGGCAUAUCAGCCAUAUAUCCUAGGAAAUGUUCCAACUCACCUCUCCUAUUACAUCGAUUAGCAGCUUUAAGGCCCGAGGAUCAUGGACAAGUGAAUCCGUGUAAAAUGAACCAAGCUCAGAUUUGAAAAGGAAGAAAAAAAGAAAGGAAAAAAGGGGGAAACAAGAAAGAAAGAAACACUGAAUAAACAACUCACCUUCAGCUCUUCUGAUGUUCUCUUUGCCAAACAAGUUGCCAGACAAUGCUGAAGAGGCUACACCCUUUCCUUUUCCUCACACCAUCCAUAAGCAUUUUGCUCUUAUUAGCUCAUCAUAAAUGCAUAAUUAAGAUGGGCUAUUAAAAAGUCUUGCCUAGAAUAAUGCCAGGUAAUGAAUGAAGAUUAAGCAUUGUAGCUCUAUACUCACCCACAAGCCAGGGAAGCCAGUACUUGGACAUCCUUCCAUUUGUCUGCAUGUCCCAG